GACGAACGCUGGCGGCGUGCUUAACACAUGCAAGUCGAACGGAAAGGCCCUGCUUUUGUGGGGUGCUCGAGUGGCGAACGGGUGAGUAACACGUGAGUAACCUGCCCUUGACUUUGGGAUAACUUCAGGAAACUGGGGCUAAUACCGGAUAGGAGCUCCUGCUGCAUGGUGGGGGUUGGAAAGUUUCGGCGGUUGGGGAUGGACUCGCGGCUUAUCAGCUUGUUGGUGGGGUAGUGGCUUACCAAGGCUUUGACGGGUAGCCGGCCUGAGGGGGUGACCGGCCACAUUGGGACUGAGAUACGGCCCAGACUCCUACGGGAGGCAGCGGUGGGGAAUAUUGCACAGUGGGCGGAAGCCUGAUGCAGCAACGCCGCGUGCGGGAUGACGGCCUUCGGGUUGUGAACCGCUUUCGCCUGUGACGAAGCGUGAGUGACGGUAAUGGGUAAAGAAGCACCGGCUAACUACGUG
rnacentral:rRNA from 1 species